AGAGUUUGAUCAUGGCUCAGGACGAACGCUGGCGGCGUGCUUAACACAUGCAAGUCGAACGGAAAGGCCCUUCGGGGUACUCGAGUGGCGAACGGGUGAGUAACACGUGGGUGAUCUGCCCUGCACUUUGGGAUAAGCCUGGGAAACUGGGUCUAAUACCGAAUAGGACCACGCGCUUCAUGGUGUGUGGUGGAAAGCUUUUGCGGUGUGGGAUGGGCCCGCGGCCUAUCAGCUUGUUGGUGGGGUAAUGGCCUACCAAGGCGACGACGGGUAGCCGGCCUGAGAGGGUGACCGGCCACACUGGGACUGAGAUACGGCCCAGACUCCUACGGGAGGCAGCAGUGGGGAAUAUUGCACAAUGGGCGCAAGCCUGAUGCAGCGACGCCGCGUGAGGGAUGACGGCCUUCGGGUUGUAAACCUCUUUCAAUAGGGACGAAGCGCAAGUGACGGUACCUAUAGAAGAAGCACCGGCCAACUACAUGCCAGCAGCCGCGGUAAUACGUAGGGUGCGAGCGUUGUCCGGAAUUACUGGGCGUAAAGAGCUCGUAGGUGGUUUGUCGCGUUGUUCGUGAAAACUCACAGCUUAACUGUGGGCGUGCGGGCGAUACGGGCAGACUAGAGUACUGCAGGGGAGACUGGAAUUCCUGGUGUAGCGGUGGAAUGCGCAGAUAUCAGGAGGAACACCGGUGGCGAAGGCGGGUCUCUGGGCAGUAACUGACGCUGAGGAGCGAAAGCGUGGGGAGCGAACAGGAUUAGAUACCCUGGUAGUCCAA
rnacentral:rRNA from 1 species